rfam:Parcubacteria group bacterium GW2011_GWA2_38_13b GWA2_OD1-rel_38_13_curated_2, whole genome shotgun sequence.
UUUAUUGAGAGUUUGAUCCUGGCUCAGGACGAACGCUGGCGGCGUGGAUGAGGCAUGCAAGUCGAGCGAGCCGUUCCUCAUUGCGUUUGGAACGGAAAUCCUAAAUCUUAAAUCUCAAAUUCUAAAUAAAUUCGAAAUCACAAAUUCUAAAUUAUAAACACUUGUUUUGAUAUUUGAAUUUUAGUGAUUGAAUAUUAUUUGGGAUUUGGCGCUUGGGAUUUGGAAUUUCCGCGACGAGCGCAGCGAGGAGCGGCGAGCGGCAAACGGGUUAGUAAUACCCUGGUAUCUACCCUAAAGACCGGAACAACCCAGAGAAAUUUGGGCUAAUGCCGGAUGGUAUAAAGGUUAAAAUCUUUAUUAAAGGUUGUAGUAAUACAGCCACUUUGGGAAGAGCCUAGGUCCUAUCAGCUUGUUGGCGGGAUAAUAGCCCACCAAGGCUAUGACGGGUAGGGGGUGUGAGAGCAUGGCCCCCAACAUUGGGACUGAGAUACUGCCCAAACUCCUACGGGAGGCUGCAGUCGAGAAUCUUCCACAAUGGGCGAAAGCCUGAUGGAGCGACGCCGCGUGCGGGAUGAAGGUCUUCGGAUUGUAAACCGCUUUUAAUAGGGAUAAAUAGCCGUUCCUCACUGUGUUCGGUAUGGAAUUUUAAAUUUUUCCGCCAAAGGCGGAUCCCGCCCAAUGGCGGGACAAUUUUCAAUUUUCAAUGUUUUAAUUUUAAAAACAAUUAAUUCAUUAAAGAUUUAUUAAAAAUUAGAAAUUUCGUCCGAGCGUAGCGAGGAGCGGCAUUGAUAGUACCUAUUGAAUAAGGGGUUGCUAACUCUGUGCCAGCAGCAGCGGUAAUACAGAGACCCCAAGCGUUGUCCGGAUUUAUUGGGCGUAAAGCGUCUGUAGGUGGUUUAUUGCAUCUUUGGUGAAAUCCUGAAGCUUAACUUCAGGCAUGCUGAAGACAUGGGUAAACUAGAGCAUAUGAGGGGCCAAUGGAACUCAGGGUGUAGCAGUGAAAUGCGUUGAUAUCCUGGGGAACACCAAAAGCGAAGGCAUUUGGCUGGCGUAUUGCUGACACUGAGAGACGAAAGCGUGGGUAGCGAAUGGGAUUAGAUACCCCAGUAGUCCACGCCCUAAACGAUGGAUACCAGGUGUUUGUAGUAUCGACCCUACAUGUGCCGAAGCUAACGCGUUAAGUAUCCCGCCUGGGAAGUACGGCCGCAAGGCUAAAACUCAAAGGAAUAGACGGGAACCUGCACAAGCGGUGGAGCGUGCGGUUUAAUUCGAUUCUGAACGAAGAACCUUACCAGGGCAAGACGCCACGAUGAAACCCCAUAGAAAUACGGGGCCUCUUCAAGGACAUUGUGGACAGGUGCUGCAUGGUUGUCGUCAGUUCGUGCCGUGAGGUGUUCUAUUAAGUUAGGUAACGAACGCAACCCUUAUUCUGCGUUACAUGUGUCGCAGAAAACUGCCCCGCCUAAAGCUCACAGGCUUUGGGAAAUCCUAAAUCCGAUCCGCCAGUUGGCGGAUUAAAUCCUGAACAAUCUUAAAAUUCCAAUGUUCAAAAUUUAAAACAUUUUGAAUUUAGAAUUUUGAUAUUUGAAUUUGUUUAGAGUUUAAAGAUUGGAAUUUAGGGUUUUUUGCCCAAAAACCUGCGGUUUUUGGGCGGGGAGGAAGGUGGGGAUGACGUCAAAUCAGCAUGGCCCUUGAUGCUCUGGGCGACACGCGCGCUACAAUGGGAUGUACAAUGGGUUGCAAAGCCGUAAGGCGAAGCUAAUCUCAUCAAAGCAUCUCUCAGUUCGGAUUGGGGUCUGCAACUCGACCCCAUGAAGCCGGAAUCGCUAGUAAUCGCUGGUCAGCCAUACAGCGAUGAAUACGUUCCCAGGUUUUGUACUCACUGCCCGUCAAGUCAAGGGAGCCGGUAAUACCCGAAUACAGUUUUAGGACUGGAGACGGUAGGAUCGGUGACAAGGACUAAGUCGUAACAAGGCAUCCGUAGCGGAAGCUGCGGAUGGAUCAAUUUUACU